UACGGAGGGGGUUAGCGUUGUUCGGAAUUACUGGGCGUAAAGCGCGCGUAGGCGGAUCAGAAAGUAGGGGGUGAAAGCCCAGGGCUCAACCCUGGAACUGCCUUCUAAACUCCUGGUCUUGAGUUCGAGAGAGGUGAGUGGAAUUCCGAGUGUAGAAGUGAAAUUCGUAGAUAUUCGGAGGAACACCAGUGGCGAAGGCGACUCACUGGCUCGAUACUGACGCUGAGGUGCGAAAGCGUGGGGAGCAAACAGG
rnacentral:rRNA from 1 species